UUUGCCUCUUAGGGGAUGUCUGAAGACAUUUUUUAUUGCCAUGACUUGUGGAGGUGUUGCUAUUGGCACCUAGAGGGUAGAGGCUGGGGAUGCUGCUAAACAUCCUAUACUGCUCAAGACAGCCCCCUGCAUAACAAAUAAUUACUAAGUCCAAAGUGUCAAUAGAACUAAAUUGGAGAAAUCAUGCUCGAUUAAAACACAGACCUGGGCUCCACCUCUAGCAAAUUUGCUUUGCUUUGUUUAGCAGAACGCAAUGGCUGGGUGAUGAUCAGGACACAGAAGAUGACUUAUCCCUGAACUUUCCAGGCCUUGAACUUGAGAAAGAUUGGCAGUGAUAGCAGGAGUGGAAUAAGAAUAUUGAAAAGGCCGGGAAGAAAUGGCAUUCCCACGGUCAGUACUGGCAGCACUUCACCCAGAAGACCGGCAUGGGGAAUUUCCUGUCCGGAUGUAGAGAAUCUGCCCAGCGGGUGGUUCUGGACAGUGGGGAAGUAGGGAGGGCUCUGCGGGGGCACAACGAUCAUGGAAACAGUGGUCUGUAGUACAACUCUUGGUCCAGUCUAACCCCCAUGAACCCUGUAGGUAUGAAAGCACUGGUUUGGAAAGAGCAGAAAGGUGAGCAAGUUUGGAGACACUCUGACAGGGUUACGUAGGGGAACAUUUGUUCUUCUACACUUCACAUUGUUUCCUAUGCGUAAUCUUACCCCUUAAAUCAGGGUCAAGAAACUGACCCUAGCCUCCUUUUAAAAAGCAAAGGUUAUAUAAGCUAUCAGCUCUAGAAUCUGCCACCUUAGGACUGAUGACUACAAUAAAGAAUUUCUUAUGAAAUUCAAA